rnacentral:rRNA from 1 species
UGCCAGCCGCCGCGGUAAUACUGAAGGUGCAAGCGUUAAUCGGAAUCACUGGGCGUAAAGCGCUCGUAGGUGGCUUUGUAAGUCAGAUGUGAAAGCCCACGGCUCAACCGUGGAAUUGCGUUUGAAACCACUAGUCUUGAGGGGAUCAGAGGAGAGCGGAACUGAUGGUGGAGCGGUGAAAUGCGUUGAUAUUAUCAGGAACACCGGUGGCGAAAGCGGCUCUCUGGGAUCCUUCUGACGCUGAGGCACGAAAGCUAGGGGAGCGAACGGGAUUAGAUA